AAAAAAAAAAAAAAAAAAAAAAAAAAAAAAAAAAAAAAAAAUUUUUUUUUUUUUUUUUUUUUUUUUUUUUUUUUUUUUUUU
rnacentral:misc_RNA from 1 species